UUAAGCAUUUCCUUCGAGUUUUUGGCGAUGGGAGCUCCAGAUAAUCAACCGGUGCUUAGGGCUCAUAUAUACCGGACAACAGCGCCUCACCUCGGCCAGUCUUGCUGAAAAUCACAGUAGUGUUUGUAGUGUUUAAACUGUGGAUAAAAUUCAUUUCGGGUCCAUUUAAAAGGCAAUCUUUGGUCUUAUAAGUAUGUAAGCAGUGUUUCUUUGUAUAAUUUAUUUGUAAUUCGUAAAUAUUAAUUACAGUAAGGAUUAAUACGAACUGGGUUUGGACGUAACUUCAGCUUUAGGACCUUAGGAGGUCGCAUAUCUAGGAUGCAUUUGUCAUCAAGACUGUCUUAUUUCAGCAUAUUAACAAGUUGACUUUUAUUCUUAGUUAAUCGUAAAUUGUUGUAAUAUGCGUAUGACUUGCGAAUGUUAUACUUAGUUAACUUAAACAAACCAGGCUUAAUGGAGAAUGCAGUCUGCACAGUCUGAACCUUCGAACUCAGAAACGGGCUGCAAUUGGUUGUCCAGCUGUAACUCAUUUUAAGUGACAGAAAAACUGACCAAUCAUAUUGUUCAUCUGAAUGGGUGGGUUCUCUUAAUCCACUCGCUCGCUCUGAGGACUUUCGUGUUUUAAAGAUAAGUGUGACUUUACUGCGGUCUUUUUCGGUUUAUUUAGUUUCGUGUUAGUUAUAUACACAAAGUAUUCGAUUAAAAUGUUAAUGUAAAACUAUUAUCCGCUGUAAAUUAAUUGUGUGUUCAAUUGCGAAGUUCGCGUGGCUGACUGAAUUGUUUGACAAAGGCGUCUUACUGGAGUUAUCUGCUGCCCUCCGAAACUUGAAGCAAAACUGAAGGGAAAUGUAACGUUAUUCAUUUAAUUCCACAAAAGGCAACGUGAAACAUUGCUGAGGGAGAACUAACGUAUAUUCAUAACAAAAGGAUAAUGAUGAAGAGGCGGGACUUGGGCAGCUUGUGAUGGCUGUAAUUGUAAAGAAUGGAUCUUCUAGGAGUGGAAGCCCAAGGGAUGCUGGAAUUGUUAUCGAGGCCUUAAAGUUGUUCCCAGGGCAGGCUUUAUCCUCAUUGGAUUGGAUCGUUGCAUUGAAUCUCCAGUAUCCCAGGCAUCUUUUCAGGUGUUUCAGAAACUUUUCUUGGAGCUGGAUUCUUCAACGUUUAUAAACUGAUUACAGUACAGUAAGUCUAAACUGCUGUCUGAUUUUCUGGGUGUGAAUCAAUGUAACAGAACACAAACAUGGAACCUUUCGACGGGAAAUGUGGACAGUUUUCUCUAAAGACUGUAAAAUACUUUUUGAAGUUUACACUGUUACAAAUACACCAUUAAAAAUGAGAUGCUUUCCUGUUCUUUUGACUGCAAUAAAAUAAGAAUUGAUUCAUCUUUGUCUGUCAUUCUGAAAUUAGAUAUAAUACUCAUUACUAAUAAUAUUAUUAAUGGAUGAUGUUAAAUUAAAAUAGUAUAAUUGAAUAGUAUUUAUUGUAUAGUGCUAGGUCUUUGUCCUGUAUACCCAAUAUUUUGUUUAAAUUUAAAUUAAUUUCUAAUUGCAAAUUGCAGUUAACCUAUUUGAAUGGGUUACUAUUAAAGACUUUAUGGUAUGAUUCUAACUCAAUUUUUAUUUGUUGAAUUUAAAUAAUGAUAUUGCUUGUAAUCUGU